rnacentral:lncRNA from 12 species
GUUUAAAGUUGCAGCACUGCUGCAACACAUUUUCUAAAAGCCUUCUGGUCACUGUCCAGAAGAAAUAGAAGAACAAGGCUGGAUCCAAAGCUGUGCAGUUACCUUAAGGACCAUUUAGGCACCUGUGAACUAGAAACUCCUUGCAUGCCCAAUAGAUGUUUAAAGAGCAAAGCUGUCUGAGUUUUGGGUGGGUGGUUGGUUGGUUGGUUGGUUGGUUGGUUGGUUGGUUGGUUGGUUGGUUUACUGGAAGUUGCCACUGUGUACAUAACUAUGCAUUGGAAAAGCUUCAGGCUUUUGUAUUCCUCUACGCAUUUUUAUCUUUCCCCCCAAGGUGUCCAAACUGAA